ACAUAUCAUAAAUAUAUGCUUGUUUGCCUAUGUGUAUUCGAUAUUUCUUCGGAAAUUCUCAUUGAGUCCAAAAGACUCAUAUAGGUGUUGAAAUGCUUGUAGGUACUUUCAAUCCCGAGCACGAGUCGUAAAGUUGGAGUCGAGUUCGAGGAUCGAGGGAUGUGUUCAUAUGGAAGGCGUGUGGAUCUUGUGUGCUCUUAAUUUAGCCAUAUUGUUUUACUUAUAUAGUUUAAUUUUAAAGACUUUCGAUACCGUCUUAGAUAUCUAUUAUCGUACUCUUCCACCCCUCGGGGGAUCUUAUUAGUAAGAACAUUGCAUCUAAUAAUAAUUAGGAUUUUGAUUUCCUCUUUUU
rnacentral:lncRNA from 1 species